rnacentral:rRNA from 1 species
GACGAACGCUGGCGGCGUGCCUAAUACAUGCAAGUAGAACGCUGAAGGAGGAGCUUGCUUCUCUGGAUGAGUUGCGAACGGGUGAGUAACGCGUAGGUAACCUGCCUGGUAGCGGGGGAUAACUAUUGGAAACGAUAGCUAAUACCGCAUAAGAUUGACUAUUGCAUGAUAGUCAGUUAAAAGGUGCAAUUGCAUCACUACCAGAUGGACCUGCGUUGUAUUAGCUAGUUGGUGGGGUAACGGCUCACCAAGGCGACGAUACAUAGCCGACCUGAGAGGGUGAUCGGCCACACUGGGACUGAGACACGGCCCAGACUCCUACGGGAGGCAGCAGUAGGGAAUCUUCGGCAAUGGACGGAAGUCUGACCGAGCAACGCCGCGUGAGUGAAGAAGGUUUUCGGAUCGUAAAGCUCUGUUGUAAGAGAAGAACGAGCGUGAGAGUGGAAAGUUCACACUGUGACGGUAUCUUACCAGAAAGGGACGGCUAACUACGUG